rnacentral:lncRNA from 1 species
AAUGGUUUACUCAUGCUCGAAGUUCGAAUUAGAGAUCAACAUUAUUUCCAUGGUGAUGCCAUUAUAAAUGUGCUGUUAGAGGAACUCUAUUACCUCUACAAUCAAGACGCACUUGAUAAGUCACUCAUCAGGUCCUGGGUUCUGAAAGUCUUUAAUUUGCUCUAACUUCAAAAUCCCCGCUCUAGUUAUUGUGCGAUGUCUUAACUCCUAUUCGAUUUUAUAUCAUGCAGGAUGGAGAUUUAAACUUGCUGGAGGAAAGAAUACGCAUCGGCUUCAUGGACCCGGAUAUUAUAAAUAAGUCAACUAUAAGAGAUAGAUCAAAUCGGACCUUGAAAAAUAUAUAUAAGUUCCUAGAAAACCAACAUUACAAGAAGUACAUACUUCUACUGUACAACUUCAAGUGAGCGUAUUUCCCAUCUCUUUUAUUUUUCAAAAUAGCAGUUAAACAUAAGACUAACUAGCUUUGGUUAUGCAUAUAUGUAUAGCUUCCACUGGAUACUCCUUGUUAUUGCAGUUGAUCCAAGCGCGGUCUAUAU